AAGUCAUGCGUUGAGCAUAUAACGAACUAUUCUUUCAUCUUUUACCAAAGAAUAUUGUGUGUUCGUCGUUUUAAGUGACAUACGUCUAUUUUUUGAGGGGCUCACCUCUAUGGGUGUCC